GUACCCUAUCUCUCCCUAACUGUAAUUGCACCGACAUAACACUAUUACUCAUCCGUCGUCGGUCGGAAAUCGCUUCCGCCGACGGCGAGUCUCCAAAUAACCCCAAAAUUACCCCACUUCGUCUCCCUAACCUCCUCUUUCCAUUUCUGCACCUGGUGUUCCUCAAAUAUCGACCAAAAUCGUCGAAUAUCAAUUUGGAUCCAUCACUGCUCCACCGCUCACGGCGAAGGCGCCUCAAAAUCGUUUCAAAAUAACACCCUAGGUCUCCCUAGCCUUCCUCACCCCGAAUCUGUAAGUCCCCUACCUCGAAUCAACACCAAACCCCUUGAAUUUUGUUUUGAAAACCUGGCCACAAUCUCACCACCUACCAAACUACCCAAAGCACACCAUCUCCGCCUCUUUCACCUCUCACACCUAGAAAUUACUGUCAGGUUCCCUCAAGUGUCUUUGCAACUCUCCAAAAGCAAAGCUUGGAUUCGGAGCUAAGGCAUGAAGAUUCUAGAGUCCA
rnacentral:lncRNA from 1 species